GUGCUCUCUUCAGCAGCACAUAUACUAAAUUUGGAACGAUACAGAGAAGAUUAGCGUGGCUCCUGUGCAAGGAUGACAUGCAAAUUCAUGAAGCGUUCCAUGUUUUU
ensembl:snRNA U6 U6 spliceosomal RNA